AGAUGUUUAAUUUGAAAAUGUGGUCACGUUUGGAGAUCACCUCAGUGAGUACUGACCCACAAGUCGGUAAGAUGGCGUUCGUACACUAAAGUAGCGUGGAAGCGUCAAAAGCGAGUAUGAGUUUGGUUACUUUAAUAGGCUUGUUAACAUGUUUAGUAUUAUUGUUGUCCGGUGCUGGACGUGUCAUAGCCUCUGAAUGUGUUUGCACACCCAGCCAUGAAGCAACACCAGUGUACAGAAAAUCAGAUUCGUUGUCCGAAAUAGUUGGUCAUAUUAGUACAAACACGUGUUUGCAUGGUGAAUUGGUAAAGGGAAAGGAUUGGCUUUGUUUGUUAGGCAGUUCGUACUAUUAUAUCAACAUAAAGAAACUGAUAGCUUGCCCAAAUGACAGAGAA